rnacentral:pre_miRNA from 1 species
AGUGGGAUAGCUGGGUCAAAUGGUGGUUUCGUUCCCAGUUUUCUGAGGAUUCUCCAAACUGCUUUCCAUAGUGGUUGCACCAAUUUGCAGUCCCACCAGCAAU